UCAUCAGACAAAUCAUAUAAUUCAGUUAAUAACGGGCACUUUAUUUUAUUAUCCAAAUGUUUUUAUUGAGUUUUUAGGAUGUUAGUCAGAAAGCAAACCUUUCUCACAUGUGCACUGAUCACAAACAUUAACACUAGCCUAGUCAAUAUAAAACACAUAAGAACCAUAUCAUAUCAAGGGGAGAACACAAUAGAAGAUAACAUAAAUAAAAGGACCAGAAAAUUCCAUUUAUUUUACUGAUUUAAUUAUCCUAAAUGUGUAAAUUAAAAGUAAUUUAAUUUUUCAUUAUUACAUUUGGAAACCAAAUGUAUCUGGUGAGCUUAGUAUUAAUAAGAAAUCUGUACAUACAAAUAAUUUGUUUCAAGAUUUUUUUAGUUUUAAUAAAGAUAAUUAUGCUCUUUGACCUGUUUUACAUAUAUCAUACUUGUGUUUUUAUCUAAUAUUGAAUAUGUAAUAUUUAUUAAAGUUAGUUUCUUAUUUAAUUUGUUUAUAUUGUACUUUGCUUUAUAUUUAGACUGUGUUUUAUUAACAUAUGUUGCAUGUUCUUGUGCUGCUUUAAUGUUUUAGUCAGCAAAACCAUUUAUCUUCUAUUGAAAAAUAAGUAUUUCAAUUGUAUUACUUAAAAUAAUAGUGCAAUGUAAUAUUGCUAAAUAAUCUUGGUUUUGUUACUGUUGUUCUGUAUUUAAUCAUUUUCAAUAAAGGAACUUUUACAUGUUCUCCCUGUCACAGUUUCUGUUCCUUUAAGGCUUGCUUGCCUAGUAGGGUGCCACUCAUCUGAUAGCCACGCUUCCUCUGCAGCUCACCUGACUCUCCCUGCUGCAAGCAAUUAAGACUAGUUAGUAUUUAAGCCUCCUCUGGCCUCCACUUCACUGCCAGAGUGUACUCUGCAUCAUGCAAGUCUGUCCAGCGCUCGUCCCUAAACAGAGCUCUCGUUGCCGACCCUGCCUUCCCCUGACCUGCCUGCUUUGCCUGUUUCCUGACCAAGUCUGUUUUGGACCUGUCUGCCUCCUUCAACCUGCCUUGCCUGUUUCCCGACCAUCUGCCCGGCCCCGAUUUGCCCCUUGCCUUCUACCUAUUGACCCAUGAAUUGUGAUCAAUAUUCUGUAUAUUUGUUCUUUCAUUACCCAAGAUGACAUGUGCCGUAUCUUUGCAGCCAGCUGACACACUUUCAAUAAAUGCUGAAGACAUCGGGCGGCCUUACUUAGUUUUUACUGGGAGCAAUUGUCAAAUUGUGAAAACGGUAUUGGACACCAAAUUCAAUGUUUAACAUCAAAAAACAAAGAUUCCAUAAAUGGGUGCUUGCCCAAAGAUAUUAUAGAAAUGAGUUGGUACAGUAACAGGGAAACUAGAUUUACAAAAGUAUCGCUUAGCUGUCAAAUUAGAGACCUUGUACUGAAAAGUGUGCCAAUGGGCCAUGCUUAAGUCCCAAUAUGAAGUACAACAGUAAUUCAUCUACUACCCAUAAAGUCAAAAGAGUAAAACACACAAGUUAUCUCAACAGUUUUACUCAUUGUUAUUGCAACACAUUCGCCUCAGACAGCCAGUGUAGUUGCUAGCUUGGUUCGCAGUUAACUGAUAGUGGAGCAAUUUAAUUAUUUGGCUGUUCUCUUACUGUGUCACUACAAGAAUAACUAUUUCUCCUGGAAAUCAAAAAGUCAACUAUUUUUUCUUCUCCCAGUUUUCAGUUCAGUGUCUUCAUCACCAGGUGGCGGCAGAAGCCUGCAGGCUGCUGUCCAUGGUGCUGAAGAAAGUCAAACAUAUUUAGUAAACAAAAACACAAAUUAAUAUAAGUGACAUGAUCUUCAACUAAAAGGAAUAGGUUAAAUAUACCCCUAUAAUAUAUUAGCGUUGAAUUACUGUACUUGAGUAUACAUUUGUGGUAGUUGUACAUUACUCAAGUAUUUCCCUUCUCUUCCAUGUUAUAACUUAUAUCUACUCCACUACAUUUGGAAUUUGUUUUACUUUUAACCCACUACAUUUAUCUAACAGCUGUAGUUAUUUUGCGUCUUAAAUUUUUACUUUUUAACAUUUUUUAAACAUAACACGUAAGACUAAACCACUGAUUUCAUUUAAAAAAGAAUGUUUAAAAAUGUUCAUUGCAAGUAAACGACAGUUUGCUGGUUUUCCCUCUUCCCAUAAGAAAAUAACUUCUUUUAUAAAAAGUAUUUUCUCUCAUUUAUGAUCUCAUGCCCCCUCAGAUUUAUGUUAUGAUAGUUUGGAGGGGCCCAACAAUUUAUUAAUGUCAGAAAUGACUAUAUCAGCCACAGGGUACGUUUUUCUGCAGAACGACUACUUUUACUUUGAUACUCUAAGUAUAUUUAUUUAAUACAUUUGGAGCUAUGCACUGGGCCUGAUUUUAUUCUGUUCUGCCUCCAAGCCUAUAAAAUCUCAUGGAAUAAAAUAUGAUUCAUUGCUCUGUAAACCACCAUACCGAUUAAAUAUUCAGAUGUAUAACAGGUAUCAGCUGUGUCUUUAAUCACACCGAGUGUCAUUUACAAGAUGGUCAUCUUAGUCCGGGUUGUGUGAGAGAAGCUUUGAAUCACAUUUUAAUUUGAA